UACGUAGGAUGCAAGCGUUGUCCGGAUUUACUGGGCGUAAAGCGCGCGCAGGCGGCACUCUAAGUACGUCGUGAAAUAUCCCGGCUCAACCGGGAGGGUGCGAUGUAGACUAGGGAGCUAGAGGUCGGUAGAGGGGGGUGGAAUUGCUGGUGUAGCGGUGAAAUGCGUAGAGAUCAGCAGGAACACCCGUGGCGAAGGCGGCCCCCUGGGCCGUACCUGACGCUGAGGAGCGAAAGCAUGGGGAGCGAACAGG
rnacentral:rRNA from 1 species